ensembl:processed_transcript Gm9899 predicted gene 9899
AUGGCUGGACAGAUGCUCAGCUUCAGGUGGAAAACAGGUCCCAGAUGUGAGCAAGGCCUGGUGACUAUAGCUCACACAGGGGCUCAGGGACAAAACCAUCAGGGAACAGCUCUGGACCCACUGAAGGUGGAGAUGAGGAAGGGAGGCAGAGCUAUCUUGGCACAGAGCUCGGGCACCCAGCCCAGGCAGGGACUCAGAAGGUCUCCGUGUCUGUGCGGAGCCAAAGGAUAUUGUUGGGGCUUUGAGCUAGUGCCUGAAGAAGAACGUCUAUCCAGGGGCCCUCAGAGACCUGAAGGGGAUGGGACCAUCCUACCCAUAUGGACCAGGGUUGCCACUGGGAGGGGCCCAAGGUGGGGGUGGGAUAUCCAGGCCAUGAGUACAUAGAUCUCUGCUCAUCCAGAGAUGAUAUGUGUGGUCCAGUGAACCAUAGAAACCACGGUAUGUCAGGGAGAUGGAGGUCAGCUGGGAGGCAGCGCUCAGGCAGAAGGGCACAGCCAUCAGGGACAUGGAAAAAGUGAUGUCGUUAAGGAACAAUGUGAGCCAAAGGAAUGAGCUGUAA